rnacentral:sRNA from 2 species
GCAAUGGCCGACUAGGGUUCCGGCUCGCCCACCAGGGCGAGCGACUGGUCCGAGAGUGGGCAACCUCGACAGAGGUCACACGGAGGGACAAAAGCCCGGGAGAA